GUGGAUUAGAUACCCUAGUAGUCCAUGCCGUAAACGAUGAUUACUAGGUGUGGGUGGUCUGACCCCAUCCGUGCCGGAGUUAACACAAUAAGUAAUCCACCUGGGGAGUACGGCCGCAAGGUUGAAACUCAAAGGAAUUGACGGGGGCCCGCACAAGCAGUGGAGUAUGUGGUUUAAUUCGACGCAACGCGAAGAACCUUACCAGGUCUUGACAUCCCAAGAAUGCUUAAGAGAUUAGGCAGUGCCCUUCGGGGAACUUGGAGACAGGUGGUGCACGGUUGUCGCCAGCU
rnacentral:rRNA from 1 species